rnacentral:rRNA from 1 species
UACGUAGGGUGCAAGCGUUGUCCGGAAUUAUUGGGCGUAAAGAGCUCGUAGGCGGUUUGUCGCGUCGGCUGUGAAAACUCGGGGCUCAACCCCGAGCCUGCAGUCGAUACGGGCAGACUGGAGUGCUGUAGGGGAGACUGGAAUUCCUGGUGUAGCGGUGAAAUGCGCAGAUAUCAGGAGGAACACCGGUGGCGAAGGCGGGUCUCUGGGCCGAUACUGACGCUGAGGAGCGAAAGCGUGGGGAGCGAACAGG